ensembl:miRNA sha-let-7i sha-let-7i
CCGCUCCAGCGUCCGCACCAUGGCCCUGGCUGAGGUAGUAGUUUGUGCUGUUGGUCGGGUUGUGACAUUGCCCGCUGUGGAGAUAACUGCGCAAGCUACUGCCUUGCUAGUGCUGGUGAUGAUCAGCCGCGGGUGAAGACAAUGGCCCGG